UUGAGCUUUUUGGGUUUUUCGUUUCCAUUGAGCUACAAUAUUACGUUGUUCAUCCACCUCUUCAUAUGCAUCGUAGAGCUACAUAGGUAGUAGAAAAUAAGAAAAGAUAAAGAAGUGACAUUCAUAUUGAAUUACAAACUAUAUUUCGAAUCUAUCCAAGUAUUCUACAUAUAUAUGUACGUACAGAUACAAUGUUGAAUGAGUCAUCAACAAAAUGAAAGGCACUUUAGCGUCGCCGUCAUCAUCAUUAUCAUCUUUGGGGCACUCUUUAACAAUAUAUAUAUAUAUAUACAUAAUAUUUCAAGGCUAAGUAUAGUGUUAUGUACCAUGCAUAGAUACACACUUUAAAAAAUCAUAUUCCUCAUAAUAAAGAAAUGACUAUGAUCACUA
rnacentral:lncRNA from 1 species